rnacentral:piRNA from 1 species
UGAAAAGUUUCGGGUUCUUGAUAAC